UUAUUUACAAGAUAUAUAAUAAAUUUACAUAAAUCCGCCUAGGCCGCCUAGGCGCUAGGCCCCCCGCCGCCCGACUAGCGCCUAUCGAUUUUUAGAACAUUGUAUUAUAUACGUGUUUGCAGUGGUGGAGUCAAAAUUUUCAAAUAAUGGUGCCUUAAUUUCAACAAAAAAAAAAUCAAUGGACAAUUUGUCGAGCACCUGGUGGGUACUUUCCGAUUCCUACCAACAUUUACCAAAAGCUUACACGAAUGUAUGUCGACAACUACUAUGACCAAUAAAGGCUUGUCAAGGGCAGCAGUGAGAAACCAUCGAGUAAUGUUGAAGACUGCCAAUGACACACCCCGACCUGGAAUGUCCACUUGGACUCCAAAUCGAGUUGUGCUGGCCGACACCUGAAGGGUGACGAAGCCAUAAAGUGUAGUGAUGUGGAAGGUUUGGGUAAAUUUAAACCUAAAGUGCCUAAUCAAGAGAGUGUGCAGGUGAGCGGGUUUGAACCCUAUUCACACGUGAUGUCAGAGCAUAAGACAGUAUAGUAAUAAGUUGAGGGUUACACCACUGAAGGUAACCAUCUCCUGAGAUUUGCCAAAAUCCUCGUAUAUGCGUAAACACCGCUACUAAACCUGGAGGGGCAAAAAACAAUUUGAGUGGGUCAGUAAAACAAUACUUAUACGAAAACCUUUACUUUUGAAUAUACUAACCCCUCACCAUAAAACAAGUAUAGUUUCCUCAAAACAUACUACGUAAGUAUGUAAUCAAAUAUAACAUCAAUAUAACCAGAAAUAUGCCAAGUCAUGAUAUAUCAAAUGCCACAAUAAUCAUGUGAUAAUCAAUAUAACUAAGUGCUCAUCCAUCUAAGCUGACACACAAGUUCGAACAGAUGGUUUUUGACACGAACAGGACUGGGUGUAAUCAAUAUGCUCUAGUACUACGAUCACGUGAAGACUAGUGCAAAAGCACAUCACAUACAAGUCGGAUCGCCUAAUGCAAUCUACCCGACAAGACUGGCACCUAAACUUGGAUCCAAGGUGAGCGAACGGUGCAGAUGUGAACAUACACGUGAAGGACUGGCCCUGGCCCUGAGGCGAGUACUAACACCGGGUGCAGCAAGAUGAGCAUGUACACAAGCACGUAUGAAUGCCAUGACAGUAAUAUCACAACCAUAUAGCAGCAUUUAUCACAUUUCAUAUCACAAUAUCAAAUACUUGGCAAUAUAAGCGUAAAAGUGAAGUAAAUACGCAUUUAUGGAAACUAUAAUAUGUAUAGGUAUAAAAACAAACUGCCCACUCAUAGAUACUUCGCCGCUGACGAGCCACGCAACCUAGCGAAGAUGGAAACGCCAUUAAUAAUUGCCCCUAAGCACAUAAAGGUACAAUUAAUAAAACUAUACUAUAACAAUUGAAUUUGGAAAAAAAAGACGUCAAAAACGGAUUCAGAACGUCGAAUUACCAUAAGAAGGGUCCUACUUAAAUUUCCGAAAAGUCAACAAAAGUCAACAGGAUGAAUAUUCCCUGAAAGACGAAAUAUUCUCUGACGGAUGGAAAAUUCCCUAACGGAAUAUUUCAUCUGGGUUAAGGGUUAUUAGGUUGGGUUAGAUUAAUAGGUUGGACUUAAGGAUUUUAGGCCUAAAGGCCUAAACUAAAAGGUUUAAGAUUUAAAAUGCAUGCUUAAAGCCCAAAAGGAAAUGGCCAAAGGCCUUUAAUUAACCAAAUAAUAAUAAAGGGUUAGGUUGGGCUGCCCAGGGUCUUGGGCUUGGCAGGAACGGCCCGAAGGGUCUGGGUUUGGGUUGCAGCUCACCGGAGUUAAACGGAAGGGAAGGCCGGAUUCGGCCAAAAAACUGAACAACCUUUAAACGUUAAUAACUUCCUCGUUAUGCAACGAAAUCGAGUGAAACAAAAACGAAAGUUGUAGUUCUCGAAGAGACGAAGAGAAUGGUACCUCUCACGAUGUCUAACUCUCGGUGGUUUGGCCGGAAAACACCUCGAAAUCCGUCGGACUCGCCGGAAACUGGGUAAGAUUCAAAUGAGUAUAACUUCUUCAAUACUCAACGAAAUUGGGUGAAACAAAAAGGAAAGUUAUAGUACUCAGCGAGACAAAGAGAUUGAUUUGCAUGAUGGCCAACUCGCCGUGGUUUGGCCGGAAAUUGGCUCGAAAGGCACAUGUCAGACUUGAACUUCUCAAAACCGAGUUGUUUCACAUCAAAGCUUCCUCAAACCUUGACUAGAGACCCUAGGGAGUUGCGUAGAGGCUUUCCCGAGUCCUAAAACAUCGUGACUCGGUUGAAAACACGUCGAACUCAACUCGUCCGAGUUCGGACCUUCCAAGUUGGCGAGUCAAAACUCGUCCAUUCUUGGUUUGGUUGGUAUGGUUGUGUUCGUGAGGAUGAGAGGAGUAAAAUGGGGUUGGUUUCAAGCUCGAUCUAUGAGCUUUGAUGUUCGUUCAUGGCGUUGCAGAGGAAGAGAGAAUACGGGAGAGAAAGAGAUAGAAGAGAGAUAGAACCUUUUCUGAUAGAGGGGGACAGUAAAUAAAGAAGAGAUGGGAUAGGUGAGAGUGAAAUAAUGAAGAGAGG
rnacentral:lncRNA from 1 species